AUCGUCUAUGGAUGCCGAUCAGUUUGUCCUUUCUAAGAGGAAGGGGAGUAAGUAAAUAUAAAAUCAAUACCGAAAUUUUAAUUUUGUUCAUUAUUCAGUAUCGGUGCUUAAUUAUUAAUGACAAUGAACGGUUUUAAUAUUUGAAGGUGCAAUCCCUGAGAAAGAUCCAAAGAAAUCUAAAGAAAUGGAUUUUGAGUCAACACUAAGGAAGUUGAUGACUGAUGAUCAGAAACGUCUGAACGCGAAGAAGACUGAUGGUGUAGUUCCUAAGCCAAAUCGUAGGAUGAAGAAGAAGAUGCAGGCAAGGAAGAAAAAGAAAUCGAUGAC
rnacentral:lncRNA from 1 species